UACGAAGGGGGCUAGCGUUGCUCGGAAUCACUGGGCGUAAAGGGUGCGUAGGCGGGUCUUUAAGUCAGGGGUGAAAUCCUGGAGCUCAACUCCAGAACUGCCUUUGAUACUGAAGAUCUUGAGUUCGGGGAGAGGUGAGUGGAACUGCGAGUGUAGAGGUGAAAUUCGUAGAUAUUCGCAAGAACACCAGUGGCGAAGGCGGCUCACUGGCCCGGUACUGACGCUGAGGUGCGAAAGCGUGGGGAGCAAACAGG
rnacentral:rRNA from 1 species